GAAACGGCAUGGCCAAAGAUUACUCCCACCGAUGGACCGAAGUUAGGUUCCAAUAGUAAACGGCCGCCAGUAGGCGGGAAAUCGGCCCUUCUACGGAUGAUCUGCGCGGACCUGAAUGCUAUUGGAUUGGAGCUAAGGCAUGGGAGACAUUGAGGCAAUACAAGGGGGAUGGCUCAGUAACACGUAGUCAACCUAACUCGUGGACGUGGAUAACCUCGGGAAACUGAGAAUAAACCACGAUAGAUCAUAGUGCCUGGAAUGGCUUAUGGUCCAAACAGUUUACUGCCAUGGGAUGGGACUGCGGCCUAUCAGCUUGUUGGUGAGGUAAUGGCCCACCAAGGCGAUUACAGGUACGGGCUCUGAGAGGAGAAGCCCGGAGAUGGGUACUGAGACACGGACCCAGGCCCUAUGGGGCGCAGCAGGCGAGAAACCUUAGCAAUGUGCGAAAGCACGACUGGGUCAGUCCGAGUGAUUCCUGAUAAAGGAGUCUUUUGCUUGUCCUAAAAGCACAGGUGAAUAAGGGGUGGGCAAGUCUGGUGUCAGCCGCCGCGGUAAUACCAGCACCUCGAGUGGUCAGGACGUUUAUUGGGCCUAAAGCAUCCGUAGCCGGCUCUGCAAGUCUUCGGUUAAAUCCACCUGCUCAACAGAUGGGCUGCUGGAGAUACUACAGAGCUAGGGAGUGGGAGAGGCAGACGGUAUUCAGUGGGUAGGGGUAAAAUCCUCUGAUCCAUUGAGGACCACCAGUGGCGAAGGCGGUCUGCCAGAACACGUUCGACGGUGAGGGAUGAAAGCUGGGGGAGCAAACCGGAUUAGAUACCCGGGUAGUCCCAGCUGUAAACGAUGCAAACUCGGUGAUGCAUUGGCUUAUGGCCAAUGCAGUGCCGCAGGGAAGCCGUUAAGCCUCCAAAGUGGGCCGUACGG
rnacentral:rRNA from 1 species